ensembl:snRNA U6 U6 spliceosomal RNA
ACCCUCCUCACUUCAUCAGGGUAUAUACUAAAAUUGGGACAAUUCAGAGAUUAGCAUGGUUCAUGCAUAAUGAUGACACAUGUAAACGUGUGAAGUGUUCCAUAUUGAA